GCAGGGAGAUCCACCAGCGAACUCAAUGCCAGUGUGAAGCCCUCCUGCCACAGAACGACAAACUAUCUCCAGUAAAUUAUUUUAAUUUCAUUGAAUCUGCGGCUCAGAGUCUUCUCUUGAUCUGACACAGCAGUCGUUUUGGUCUCAACUGUUCAUUUCCCUCCUAACAAUGUCAAAAUAAUUAUUAAAGCAUAUACUCAAUCAUCUAAUCAUUCAUGGGUCAUUAUUUGUGCUCACUUUAUAUUGAACUUCAGCACAAAUGCUUGAUUAACAAUGUGGAAAUAUCAAACCAAUACGAAUGUAAUGUGAAACCUGAAUAUUAGCCUGUAGGUAAUUAAUGCGCCACUCAUCAAUAAAGACACACAGAACUUGUUUGAUGAGCUCUUAUAUUGGGGAUGCAGAAUGUUUUCAUUGCUUACAGAUUUAAUUGACGCAGACACAAAUGAUAAUUUUACCAACAAAAAUACGAACACAUUUCCUUCACUAAAUGCCUUAUAAAGAUGACUGGCUGCUUUAUUUUUAAUCCUAAAUUGUAUUAAGCCGUUCAAUAAGUUUUAAAUUAUGAGUAUUUCUGUUGCUGAAUGAAAACGCAAUGAGUGGAUGUAAAAAAUCUUGUGAAUUCUGCAAGAGGCAGAUUUGGUCAGUCUUUCUCCAAUAGUAUCUGCAUGCAGACUUGGAUUUGCAAACUGAGACUGCAUAUAUUAGACUUACAAUGUCAGACGCUGCACUCAAUGGAGCUAGUUACGUCAUUGUGAGGGGUGGGGUUAGGGGUGCGCUUUAAAGCGCAGAUCCCAUUCGCUCCACUAGGCGGAAUCAGCGAGCUGCUCUUUUAGCCUGAACACCUUUGACAACAGCAACACCAGAUCAGCACAGGUACACCGUUUUACUGGCGUCAAGUUGAGCUCCAGUAGCAGAUGACAGCUCAGUGACAGACUCAUAAUGUCAGUCAACAGCAGAUAUUACAGCCCGACAGCGAAGAAAAGCCACACCAAGUGCAGAAAUGGAGAGUAACGCGACUCACCUCAGUGAAGAUACACACGUGUGUCUGUUGUGUUUCUGCUGCAGAUCUUUGAGCUGCGCUCAACAGCUGACGCUCCUCCACACGCUCCUCCACAUCCAGGCGGAUUCACAGCUCCAGGAAAGGUCAGCAGUGACAUAAAUUCCAGCAGGCAUCCAGACAGGAGAUCAGUGGCUCUGUGGUAAGAUCGC